UACGGAGGAUCCGAGCGUUAUCCGGAUUUAUUGGGUUUAAAGGGUGCGUAGGCGGUUUGAUAAGUUAGAGGUGAAAUGUCGGGGGCUCAACCCCGAAACUGCCUCUAAUACUGUUGGACUAGAGAAUAGUUGCGGUAGGCGGAAUGUAUGGUGUAGCGGUGAAAUGCUUAGAGAUCAUACAGAACACCGAUUGCGAAGGCAGCUUACCAAACUAUAUCUGACGUUGAGGCACGAAAGCGUGGGUAGCAAACAGG
rnacentral:rRNA from 1 species